GAGUGGGGAAUGGAGACAUUGGGGAUCUGGCUAAAAGGCAAAGGAGGGGGAUCUCAAAUCCCAUCAGCUUAGAUCAUUGAGGUCAGGCUGAGUGGACCCAGUGUCUCUGACCAGCCAAAUUGUGUUCUUUAUCUCUCUACCUGCAAAUUAUUGAUGAUCCCAGUGAACUUUAGAAUCAGUCAAACAGAGCAGGCUGUAACCAUCCACUUUUGUCUUCUAAUUUCUAGUGCCCACCUGUGACACCCCGACAGAGGAAUGACUGUUCAUCAGAAGGAACUGAAGUGACAUACAGAACAAACCAACUCAGACCUGGCUACAUCCAUCCACUCAGAGAGCCUCUACCGACACCUCCUACUCUGAACCAUGCGCGAGGCACAUUGAAUACAAAGACUUUGAUUCAAGGAGAAUGUCCACAGCAAGUGAAGAAAGAAACAAAGCAAGGCAGGAAGAGCUGCAGCUGAGGUGUGCACUGACUCUACAUACAGACUGAGAGGAGACUUCAGACUACAGAUUUGAGUUAAAGACGGCCUUCCAUAAUGAAGCACUGAGUGGUGAAGAAUAGAUUUACCAGAGCCAGCUACAGAAGGCGAGGAUGUGCCCACCAGGCAACCCGACAGCUUGUGGUUUCUAUCACCUCCAAUCAGAAGAAAGCAAGAAAUAACUGAACUAGAGAAGGUGACAGUAUCUGGGGUUGCAGCUCCACUGUGAGUCCACUUCUAUGCAAGCCUGAAUGCGUAACUCUGCUGAGUGGAACCUCAUCUAAGCGGACUCCAUGGUAUCUAGAAUGUAAACUUCCAGGGACACUGUGAUCCUUAUUCUGGUAAUGUAGCUAUGGCAAU